rnacentral:rRNA from 1 species
UACGUAGGGUGCAAGCGUUGUCCGGAAUUAUUGGGCGUAAAGGGUUCGUAGGCGGUCUGUAACGUCGGCUGUGAAAUCCCGAGGCUCAACCUCGGGUCUGCAGUCGAUACGGGCAAACUAGAGUAUUGCAGGGGAGACUGGAAUUCCUGGUGUAGCGGUGAAAUGCGCAGAUAUCAGGAGGAACACCGGUGGCGAAGGCGGGUCUCUGGGCAAUAACUGACGCUGAGGAGCGAAAGCGUGGGGAGCGAACAGG